rnacentral:rRNA from 1 species
AUGACAGACAUCGGAGAAAACGCUAUCUUCAUGGGACCAAGGAGUAUCUGUGUUUCUUCCAGGGCAUUUCCUAUGGUGAAGGCUAAUACUAUCGUGUAUUUCCGUCCACAAAAGCACCGUUUUGCGCAAUACAACAUCGGUCGUCGCACCUGGUCAUUAGCUAUGGAUCAGUGUAGCAUAAAUGGCCGAACACAAGGCCCUCGUAGCAUUGUAUGUCAUAUCUUGACAUGCUGCUCUCACCAGCAUUGGAACAAAGGAGAAGAUUACACAUAUACGUUAACUGGAGGUCCAUCACCCUAG